rnacentral:tRNA from 1 species
GGUCCCAUAGUUCAACGGAUAGAAUAGAAGUUUCCUAAACUUUUGAUACAGGUUCGAUUCCUGUUGGGGCCA